CCGCCACCUCGCCCCGCUGCAGCGCGGCCGCCCGCACCUUCUCCCUCUCCUCCGCGCUCAGCGAGGGCAGCUGGUCCAGCACCGGCUGCACCCGGAUGAACUGCUUCAGCCGCGGCCUGAAGCAGGAGAUGAGUUAUAGAUGCCUGGGAUUCCAGUGACAGUGGGACAGGCAGUGCCAGGAGCAGUACCAAAUAUGCCUGAUGGUGCAUGCUGUGGGUGUUCUGUGUAUGCUGGUACUUACUCCGUUGCUGCUGACCCCGUGUUGACUUCAGUGCUGUUGUGGGAUGGGUAUAUAUGAACAAUAUAACUAUAUAAUCAGCUGUGAACAACCCUAGUAAAGUUUCUUUUCAUGCCCCCCCAGCCCCGCGCCCCCCCCCCCCCCCCAGUAGAAGUACCUUAACAUAAUGUUCCCAGUGAUAAAUCAUUUUUCUUCAGGUAAAAUGUAGUUUUCAACUGUAAUUGUAAUUAUAGCUGACAGCAGGGUUUACAGUACUACAGACUUGAUAGAUGUGCUGCUGUUUAAUAAGAUAUAAUUAACCAAAAUAUGUUGGCAGUUCACAGUCAGAUUCUCACUGCCAUUUCGAAAUAAUAGUUCGUUUUUAGGUUCACUGUACCUUAAAAGCCAGUUGUGAAACUUUGGAGACUGGGAUUUUGAUUAACUUUGUUCUGUACCGCAUAUGGAACUUGGACAGGAAAGUAUAAUGCAGACUGAAGACUGGAGUCUUCAGAAUGGUUGAUGCAUGGUUUGCAAGGUAUUUCUUCUGGCACGAGGCCCUAAAUCUGACAUUUAUGUUCUUUAAGAUCAUAGAAUUUAGAGUGGAGGGCAGGCUUAUAAAUGUUGUGAGACUAAACUUAUUUUUUUGUAGAUAUGUAUGGGAUGCAACAUGGUCUUUUUGAAAAAGGAAGUAUUAAGUACUGUAGAUAUUUUUAUAAUGUUGUUAAUGGAUAGUGAUGGGAGCUUUUGUAUUCCAAGAGUCUGCAUUAGCAUUCAUAUGAUUUACAGACAGGAAUAUGAACACUGCAAUUUCAUGUGUAGGAGUAAUAGUCAGGGAAUUCAGUAGUUCAGUAUGGGGAAAAAGACCAAUGGAAGGUGGCAAGGCUUCACAGAGGUCCUGUGUGCAGCUCCAUGGGCUACUAGAUGGUUCUGUCUCUGUGGAGCUGACAUGCGCUUUCCAAGAACGUGGGUUUGCAGAAGCAAUGUAUUGGGAGAUCUCCAGUGACAGGUGAGGAACAGGAGGAGAUUUGAUGGACAAAGGGAAAAGCAUCUAUUAAUUAUUUCAAAGUGGAAAUGCUGACAAUGUGGAUACUAAGCAUUGAAAACAAAGAGUGGCUUCGUUGAUGUGAAGCUGACCAUGAGCAGUAUGAGCAUUAGAAACUGGAGCUUCCAUUAAGCUUUCACAGUUUCUUGAAAGGAAAAUUAAGAUAAAGUUCUUGCAGUGCACCAUGGCGUUCUGAGUGCUGAACUGCUGGAGGAAAAGAGGAUCACCGACCUGUCAAAGUUCAUGUUUGGAAGAACUGCUGUGGAUGGAAGCUGUUGUAGUUUUUAACCUUCCCACUUGAUAAGACAAUGCACUCUGAAUGAAUACUUCAAUUUUUAAGGGCACAAUUCACAGAAAUAAAUAUUUUUUGCAUGUUACCAUA